AGAAUUGGAACUCGAUCAUCAUGAACAUGCCAGGUGACAGUGCACUGGUUUUAUUUGUAAAGGAAAACCCGUGCUUGUGGCAGCCCAAACACAAGGACUAUUUCAAUAAAACUGAAGCCAGAGCAUUAUGGGAGCGGUGUGCAGCUACUACUGGCCGUGAAGGAAAUGAGGCGAAGAAGAGAUGGCGCAACUUACGGGACUACUAUACAAAGAGACGAAAACAGCAACCGAGCGGAUCUGCGGGA